rnacentral:rRNA from 1 species
UGCGUAGGCGGGCUAAUAAGUCAGUGGUGAAAUCUCUCGGCUCAACCGGGAAACUGCCAUUGAUACUGUUAGUCUUGAGUUCGGUUGAGGUAGGCGGAAUGUGUAAUGUAGCGGUGAAAUGCUUAGAUAUUACACAGAACACCAAUUGCGUAGGCAGCUUACUAGACCUACACUGACGCUGAGGCACGAAAGCGUGGGGAGCGAACAGGAUUAGAUACCCUGGUAGUCC